UAGAGUUUGAUCCUGGCUCAGAUUGAACGCUGGCGGCAUGCCUUACACAUGCAAGUCGAACGGCAGCACGGGAGCUUGCUCCUGGUGGCGAGUGGCGAACGGGUGAGUAAUACAUCGGAACGUACCCAGGAGUGGGGGAUAACGUAGCGAAAGUUACGCUAAUACCGCAUAUUCUGUGAGCAGGAAAGCGGGGGAUCGCAAGACCUCGCGCUCUUGGAGCGGCCGAUGUCGGAUUAGCUAGUUGGUGAGGUAAAAGCUCACCAAGGCGACGAUCCGUAGCAGGUCUGAGAGGAUGAUCUGCCACACUGGGACUGAGACACGGCCCAGACUCCUACGGGAGGCAGCAGUGGGGAAUUUUGGACAAUGGGGGCAACCCUGAUCCAGCCAUGCCGCGUGAGUGAAGAAGGCCUUCGGGUUGUAAAGCUCUUUCGGCGGGGAAGAAAUGGCAACGGCUAAUAUCCGUUGUUGAUGACGGUACCCGCAUAAGAAGCACCGGCUAACUACGUGCCAGCAGCCGCGGUAAUA
rnacentral:rRNA from 1 species